CUUCUGAUAAAUAAGUGUGAUGUUUGUUCAAUCCCCUUUUCAUGAGGAUAUAAGAGAGGACCUCAGGAUGAAAAAGGCAAAAGGAUGUGAGGUCAGUAAAAGUGUGAAAACCAAUAACAUUUAUGAUCUUAAAAAGGUAGAAUGAGGCUCUGAGUGUGAUGACGUGACGCACAGGCGCGCGCCAGUAUGAAGGAGGAGACUGACCACACGUGAAGGAAGGAAGGAGAGCAUUGUAUGCCGCGCCAGUAACUGCAGGCUUACAGCAUCGAAGCAGAUGAACGCUGAGCGCACAGUGCUAGCACGGAUAUGGUCUUCAACAACAGGAGAGUACAGAGACUGAGAGAAAUCUGUGAAUAUAGUAAUUAUAUCUGGAAGAGGCCAUAGCAGAAACAGAUGAGUAUAAAAAAAAAGAAAACCCUAAAUCUGACAAUAUAGACAAGGGGCAAGAGAGAAAGAAGGGAAAAAGGCAUGCAUAUUUCAGUGCAAUAAAAGGACGAAAGGAAAGUGAGACUAAACAAGGGGGGAAUCUAACUAUCUGCAGAUUAACUCCUUCACCCUAUUUCUGUUCAGC